rnacentral:miRNA from 1 species
AUUUUGUUCAUUUGGAUUAUGC